AUUAUAAAGUUAUCUAUGACUUUGAUUUGACUGAUGUUGACAUUGUCAAUAAGCCCACACUCAGUUUGUUGAUAAAAUUCCAACUCGCAAAUACUCAAGAAAGUUAACAACUAUGUUUUGUUACAUUAGAUGAUAUUUUACAUAAUAAUAUGGACGAUAGAUCUAGCAGCCGUACACAGCGCUGUAUUGAAGGCAUCUAGGAAUGAUUUAAGUUACAACAUAUGGAAAGAUAAGGUGACCGAAACGAAGAAAGCUAGCCAGUGACUCAACUCACAAAAGAACAUUAAAUGGUAAUACAGAUAAUGAUUACGACUACGAACACCUCUUGGAUGAAUAUUACGAAGAAUCUUUGAAUGAAUCUAAAGAAAACAAAAGCUAUCGUAUAUUUGGCAAAGAUGCUGAAUCUAGCUUCGCAAAUAACAUGCGAAAAUUUAUGGAUAUCAGAAAUAAAAAUUGUUCACAGGAAGAUAUUGGUAUAAAUGCGAUCAAAUGUCUGUUAGUAGAUUACUACAACCGAAAACAACCGCUAAAUGUAUUUGUGGGCCGACUGUGGACGAUAAUCAGAGUUUGGUUUAUAUUAUACAUUGUAUUAGCUAUUCCUUUAUGGUGCAUGAAAGGUUUAUGUUGCUGCUGUUUUUUCUGUAGAAUUUUCAAACCACACCAAACUAUUGCGGAAGCCAAAAGUUACUUUAUAACGAACCCGCCGGGAUUACUAAAAACUACAAAAGGACAUGAAGUACUUUACGAACCCACGAAAAAUGAGAGAGAUGCCUAUGAAGAGUUUGAGCAUCUAAUAAGAACCAUAUGACGAUAGCAAUAAAAAUAUUUUUUCAAAAACUUUGACGUUUUGUUGUUUCAGUGAAGAGGUCUAACAGAUAAUUGUAA